ACGCUCGACACCUACGGGGGCAGCAGUGGGGAAUAUUGCACAAUGGGGGAAACCCUGAUGCAGCGACGCCGCGUGGAGGAAGAAGGUCUUCGGAUUGUAAACUCCUGUUGUUGGGGAAAAAGAGGAUGGUACCCAACAAGGAAGUGACGGCUAACUACGUGCCAGCAGCCGCGGUAAUCUGAGGCGGGCUGGCAAGGC
rnacentral:rRNA from 1 species